CGAGUGGCGGACGGGUGAGUAAUGUCUGGGAAACUGCCUGGUGGAGGGGGGUAACUACUGGAAACGGUAGCUAAUACCGCAUAACGUCGCAAGACCAAAGAGGGGGACCUUAGGGCCUCUUGCCAUCGGAUGUGCCCAGAUGGGAUUAGCUAGUAGGUGGGGGAAGGGCUCACCUAGGCGACGAUCCCUAGCUGGUCUGAGAGGAUGACCAGCCACACUGGAACUGAGACACGGUCCAG
rnacentral:rRNA from 1 species